rnacentral:rRNA from 1 species
AUUGAACGCUGGCGGCAUGCCUUACACAUGCAAGUCGAACGGUAACAGGUCUUCGGAUGCUGACGAGUGGCGAACGGGCGAGUAAUACAUCGGAACGUGCCUAGUAGUGGGGGAUAACUACUCGAAAGAGUGGCUAAUACCGCAUGAGAUCUACGGAUGAAAGCAGGGGAUCGCAAGACCUUGCGCUACUAGAGCGGCCGAUGGCAGAUUAGGUAGUUGGUGGGAUAAAAGCUUACCAAGCCGACGAUCUGUAGCUGGUCUGAGAGGACGAUCAGCCACACUGGGACUGAGACACGGCCCAUACUCCUACGGGAGGCAGCAGUGGGGAAUUUUGGACAAUGGGCGCAAGCCUGAUCCAGCAAUGCCGCGUGCAGGAUGAAGGCCUUCGGGUUGUAAACUGCUUUUGUACGGAACGAAAAGCCCCGGGUUAAUACCCUGGGGUCACGACGGUACCGUAAGAAUAAGCACCGGCUAACUACGUGCCAGCCGCCGCCGUAA